rnacentral:lncRNA from 1 species
GAUGGAGAUUGGAGGGCGAAGGAGGUGCUGGCCAUUGGAACCAAGUGCUUCGAAGGGAUGGAAGCAAGCCAAUUGGAGUUCACCAUUGAGGCAUUGCUGGUGGAGGCAUCCAAGUAUCCCACUUCUCUCUCCCAACCUCUUUUCUUUGGGAUUACAGAGUACCCCACUUCUCUCUCCCAACCUCUUUUCUUUGGGAUUACAGGGCCUCUUUUCUUCUACUCCUUUCUUGCUAACCGAUGAGACUUUUGGGGGGGGGGGGGGGGGGGGGG